rnacentral:rRNA from 1 species
CUACGGGGGGCUGCAGUGGGGAAUAUUGCACAAUGGGCGCAAGCCUGAUGCAGCCAUGCCGCGUGUAUGAAGAAGGCCUUCGGGUUGUAAAGUACUUUCAGCGGGGAGGAAGGGAGUAAAGUUAAUACCUUUGCUCAUUGACGUUACCCGCAGAAGAAGCACCGGCGAACUCCGUGCCAGCAGCCGCGGUAAUACGGAGGGUGCAAGCGUUAAUCGGAAUUACUGGGCGUAAAGCGCACGCAGGCGGUUUGUUAAGUCAGAUGUGAAAUCCCCGGGCUCAACCUGGGAACUGCAUCUGAUACUGGCAAGCGUGAGUCUCGUAGAGGGGGGUAGAAUUCCAGGUGUAGCGGUGAAAUGCGUAGAGAUCUGGAGGAAUACCGGUGGCGAAGGCGGCCCCCUGGACGAAGACUGACGCUCAGGUGCGAAAGCGUGGGGAGCAAACAGGAUUAGAUACCCCCGUAGUC